rnacentral:rRNA from 1 species
GGAGUCUGGUCCGUGUCUCAGUACCAGUGUGGGGGACCUUCCUCUCAGAACCCCUACUGAUCGAUGGCACGGUGGGCCGUUACCCCACCGUCUACCUAAUCAGACGCAUCCCCAUCCCUUAGCGAUGAAUCUUUGCUCAGCAUUAGAUGUCUGCCGCUGAGAACAUAGGGUAUUAAUCCGACUUUCGCCGGGCUAUCCCCUACUAAGGGCCAGGUUGGAUACGCGUUACUCACCCGUGCGCCGGUCGCCAUCUGCAAUAGCAAGCUAUCGCAAUGCUGCCCCUCGACUUGCAUGUGUUAAGCCUGUAGCUAGCGUUCAUC